UGCAAGUCGAGCGGACAGAUGGGAGCUUGCUCCCUGAUGUUAGCGGCGGACGGGUGAGUAACACGUGGGUAACCUGCCUGUAAGACUGGGAUAACUCCGGGAAACCGGGGCUAAUACCGGAUGGUUGUUUGAACCGCAUGGUUCAAACAUAAAAGGUGGCUUCGGCUACCACUUACAGAUGGACCCGCGGCGCAUUAGCUAGUUGGUGAGGUAACGGCUCACCAAGGCAACGAUGCGUAGCCGACCUGAGAGGGUGAUCGGCCACACUGGGACUGAGACACGGCCCAGACUCCUACGGGAGGCAGCAGUAGGGAAUCUUCCGCAAUGGACGAAAGUCUGACGGAGCAACGCCGCGUGAGUGAUGAAGGUUUUCGGAUCGUAAAGCUCUGUUGUUAGGGAAGAACAAGUACCGUUCGAAUAGGGCGGUACCUUGACGGUACCUAACCAGAAAGCCACGGCUAACUACGUGCCAGCAGCCGCGGUAAUACGUAGGUGGCAAGCGUUGUCCGGAAUUAUUGGGCGUAAAGGGCUCGCAGGCGGUUUCUUAAGUCUGAUGUGAAAGCCCCCGGCUCAACCGGGGAGGGUCAUUGGAAACUGGGGAACUUGAGUGCAGAAGAGGAGAGUGGAAUUCCACGUGUAGCGGUGAAAUGCGUAGAGAUGUGGAGGAACACCAGUGGCGAAGGCGACUCUCUGGUCUGUAACUGACGCUGAGGAGCGAAAGCGUGGGGAGCGAACAGGAUUAGAUACCCUGGUAGUCCACGCCGUAAACGAUGAGUGCUAAGUGUUAGGGGGUUUCCGCCCCUUAGUGCUGCAGCUAACGCAUUAAGCACUCCGCCUGGGGAGUACGGUCGCAAGACUGAAACUCAAAGGAAUUGACGGGGGCCCGCACAAGCGGUGGAGCAUGUGGUUUA
rnacentral:rRNA from 1 species